CAGCAGCCGCGGUAAUACGAAGGGGGCUAGCGUUGUUCGGAUUUACUGGGCGUAAAGGGCGCGUAGGCGGACUGAUAAGUCAGGGGUGAAAUCCCAAGGCUCAACCUCGGAACUGCCUUUGAUACUGUUCAUCUUGAGUAUGGGAGAGGUGUGUGGAACUCCGAGUGUAGAGGUGAAAUUCGUAGAUAUUCGGAAGAACACCAGUGGCGAAGGCGACACACUGGCCCAUUACUGACGCUGAGGCUCGAAAGCGUGGGGAGCAAACAGGAUUAGAUACCCCCGUAGUCCCUGUCUCUUAUAC
rnacentral:rRNA from 1 species